rnacentral:rRNA from 1 species
UCGWAAAAGCACUUUCGGCCUGUGAGCAAAGAAUCUUCUUCUAUAAAAGAAAAUUUUGAGRAGUAGCAGGUAAAGAAGCGCCGGCCCAACUACGUGCCAGCAGCUGCGUAAUACGUAGGCGCAAGCAUUAAUCGGAWUUAUUGGGUGUAAAAGGGUGCGUAGGCUGCUGAGUAAGUUGGAUGUGAAAUUCCGGAGUUCAUCUUCGGACUGCAUUCAAAACUGCUCAGCUAGAGUAUAAGAGGGGAAAAGCGGAAUUCCACAAGUAGCGGUGAAAUGCGUAGAUAUGUGGAGGAACACCGGUGGCGAAGGCGGCUUUCUGGAUUAUUACUGACGCUGAGGCACGAAAGCAUGGGGAGCAAACAGGAUUAGAUACCCUGGUAGUCCAUGCCGUAAACGAUGCACACUUGAUGUAGUCGGUCUCAACCCCGGCUGUGUCGAAGCUAACGCGAUAAGUGUGCCACCUGGGGAGUACGCUCGCAAGGGUGAAACUCAAAAGAAUUGACGGGGACCCGCACAAGCAGUGGAGCAUGUGGUUUAAUUCGAUGCAACGCGAAGAACCUUACCUGGGCUUGACAUGCAGAGGACUGGGGCAGAAAUGCUCAGUUCCGAAAGGACCUCUGUACAGGUGCUGCAUGGCUGUCGUCAGCUCGUGCCGUGAGGUGUUGGGUUAAGUCCCGCAACGAGCGCAACCCUUAUUGCUAAUUGCCAUCAGGUAAAGCUGGGCACUUUAGUGAGACUGCCUGAGUCGAUCAGGAGGAAGGUGAGGAUGACGUCAAGUCCGCAUGGCCCUUAUGUCCAGGGCUACACACGUGCUACAAUGGCCAGUACAAAAGGUUGCGAAGCCGCAAGGCGUAGCUAAUCCCCAAAACUGGUCUCAGUUCGGAUUGCAGUCUGCAACUCGGCUGCAUGAAGUUGGAAUUGCUAGUAAUGGCGUGUCAGCAACAGCGCCGKGAAUACGUUCCCGGGUCUUGUACACACCGCCCGUCACACCGCGGAAGUUGCUCCUUGCCCGAAGUCGCUGCCCCAAACCGCGGCCCAAAAGGGGG